UACAGAGGGGGCAAGCGUUGUUCGGAAUCACUGGGCGUAAAGCGCACGUAGGCGGAUUUGUCAGUCAGGGGUGAAAUCCCGGGGCUCAACCUCGGAACUGCCUUUGAUACAGCAAGUCUUGAGUUCGAGAGAGGUGGGUGGAAUUCCUAGUGUAGAGGUGAAAUUCGUAGAUAUUAGGAAGAACACCGGUGGCGAAGGCGGCCCACUGGCUCGAUACUGACGCUGAGGUGCGAAAGCGUGGGGAGCAAACAGG
rnacentral:rRNA from 1 species